rnacentral:hammerhead_ribozyme from 1 species
AUCCAGCUGACGAGUCUCAAAUAGGACGAGAACGCAUCCUGGAU